UAUAUUUAAUUUUCCAGAUUACAAUGACUAGUACGCUGAUUGUAGUCGUCGCUACGGUUAUGGCUGCUGUGGCGACAGUACAAUUCUGUUGACAGACCAGAUGUCCACCAUCGCCGCACACCCGACCAUCUACUGCGAUUAACUGACGAUUACCGGCGUGGGUCCGACCCUCUGCCAGAACGACCUUAUCAUGCCCGGCAGGGUCACUGGGGCGGCGGCACAUUGCGUAUCAUAUUUAGACGUGUCGGCGACGAGUACUCAGCCGAUCCCAACUCCGACUCUACGAAUAGCUAUCAAGCCCGCAUUGGCGCUCACAAAAGGAAAAGGGAAGCAACUUUCGACUCGUUAUAUCCUCCAGGAGACAUUUAAA